UAAUGGAGAGUUUGAUCCUGGCUCAGGACUAACGCUGGCGGCGUGCCUAACACAUGCAAGUCGAGCGAGCACCAUUCCGUAGCAAUACGGGAGAAGUGCUAGCGGCAGACGGGUGAGUAACACGUAGUCAACCUAUCUUUUCGCCCGGGAUAACUAGCCGAAAGGUUAGCUAAUACCUGAUACGAUCAUCGAGUGGCAUCACUUGAUGAUGAAAGCAGCAAUGCGCGGAUUGAGGGGGCUGCGGCCCAUUAGCUAGUUGGUGAGGUAACGGCUCACCAAGGCAACGAUGGGUAGCUGGUCUGAGAGGAC
rnacentral:rRNA from 1 species